rnacentral:snRNA from 1 species
GUACCCUCUCAAAAAACAUCUGAUAAAAUUGGAACGAUACAGAAAAGAUUAACACAGCUCCUACGCAAAGAUGACACGUAUAUAACUCUUUAAGAGAGUGGUGCUAUCAUUUU